rnacentral:rRNA from 1 species
CCUAUGCUGCCGAGAAAAGCCUCUAGCGAGCUGGUACAUGGCCCGUACCCCAAACCGACACAGGUGGUCAGGUAGAGAAUACUAAGGCGAUCGAGAGAACUGUGGUUAAGGAACUCGGCAAAAUGCCCCCGUAACUUCGGGAGAAGGGGGACCAGUCCUGGUGACGACAUUUACUGUCUGAGCUGGGGUUGGUCGCAGAGACCAGAGAGAAGCGACUGUUUACUAAAAACACAGGUCCGUGCGAAGUCGUAAGACGAUGUAUACGGACUGACGCCUGCCCGGUGCUGGAAGGUUAAGAGGACCGGUCAGCCACUUCGGUGGCGAAGCUGAGAAUUUAAGCCCCAGUAAACGGCGGUGGUAACUAUAACCAUCCUAAGGUAGCGAAAUUCCUUGUCGGGUAAGUUCCGACCUGCACGAAUGGCGUAACGACUUCUCUGCUGUCUCAACCACAGACUCGGCGAAAUUGCAGUACGAGUAAAGAUGCUCGUUACGCGCGGCAGGACGAAAAGACCCCGGGACCUUCACUAUAGCUUGGUAUUGGUGUUCGGUUCGGUUUGUGUAGGAUAGGUGGGAGACUGUGAAACUCGCACGCCAGUGUGGGUGGAGUCAUUGUUGAAAUACCACUCUGACCGUAUUGGACAUCUAACCUCGGACCAUGAUCUGGUUCAGGGACAGUGCCUGGUGGGUAGUUUAACUGGGGCGGUUGCCUCCCAAAAAGUAACGGAGGCGCCCAAAGGUUCCCUCAGCCUGGUUGGCAAUCAGGUGUUGAGUGUAAGUGCACAAGGGAGCUUGACUGUGAGACGUACAUGUCGAGCAGGGACGAAAGUCGGGACUAGUGAUCCGGCACCGGCAAGUGGAAGCGGUGUCGCUCAACGGAUAAAAGGUACCCCGGGGAUAACAGGCUGAUCUUCCCCAAGAGUCCAUAUCGACGGGAUGGUUUGGCACCUCGAUGUCGGCUCGUCGCAUCCUGGGGCUGGAGUAGGUCCCAAGGGUUGGGCUGUUCGCCCAUUAAAGCGGCACGCGAGCUGGGUUUAGAACGUCGUGAGACAGUUCGGUCUCUAUCCGCCGCGCGCGUAAGAAACUUGAGGAAACCUGUCCCUAGUACGAGAGGACCGGGACGGACGAACCUCUGGUGUGCCAGUUGUUCCACCAGGAGCACCGCUGGUUAGCUACGUACGGAAGGGAUAACCGCUGAAAGCAUCUAAGCGGGAAGCCUGUUCCAAGAUGAGGUUUCUCACCACCUAGCGUGGUUAAGGCCCCCCACAGACCAUGGGGUUGAUAGGCCAGAACUGUAAGCACAGCAAUGUGUUCAGGUGACUGGUACUAAUCGGCCGAGGACUUAC